rnacentral:rRNA from 1 species
UGGGGAAUUUUGGACAAUGGGGGCAACCCUGAUCCAGCAAUGCCGCGUGUGUGAAGAAGGCCUUCGGGUUGUAAAGCACUUUUGUCCGGGAAGAAAUCGCACCUGAUAAUACCGGGUGUGGAUGACGGUACCGGAAGAAUAAGGACCGGCUAACUACGUGCCAGCAGCCGCGGUAAUACGUAGGGUCCAAGCGUUAAUCGGAAUUACUUGGCGUAAAGCGUGCGCAGGCGGUUGUGCAAGACCGAUGUGAAAUCCCCGGGCUUAACCUGGGAAUUGCAUUGGUGACUGCACGGCUAGAGUGUGUCAGAGGGGGGUAGAAUUCCACGUGUAGCAGUGAAAUGCGUAGAGAUGUGGAGGAAUACCGAUGGCGAAGGCAGCCCCCUGGGAUAACACUGACGCUCAUGCACGAAAGCGUGGGGAGCAAACAGG